UAUAUAUAUAUAUAUAUAAUGCAGUGAUAGAUAUAUACUCCCCCACAAGAAACACGCGGUUCACUAUAUAUACAUAAUAUAAAUCUAUAUGUAUGUGUGUGUUUGUAUGUAUACAUAUAUACAGGGGGUUUAGACCUAGGAUUUUCAAUUUUUCAUAUGUUUCUCCUCACAAUUAUAUGCUCAUAUCUUAUAAACUUCAAUUGACAUGAUAUCAGUGCCUUCGGAUUCUUCUCAAAAAAUUAAAUGGUUGAAACUUAAAAUUUUUUAUUUUUCACACUCAACUCACAAUUUUAGAGUCUUAUCAUUGUAGGCCAAUGGAAAUUCUCAACAUGGAAUAUUUUCACCUAUAUCUCUAUGUGACCUGAUAUCAGUAUCAUUGAAUCCUGCUUGGAAAAUUAAGUGGUUUAGACUUAAAAUUUUCAAUUUUUCAUAGUUUGAAUCAUUUGUUAAUAUACAUUAGUUUAUGGAAGGGUUUAGGGGUUUAGGGUAUUGUUUAUUGAGUUUGUCUUGUCGAUUCUUAUGAUUUCGAUUAUUAUAUAAGUGCAUGUACUCAUGCUUGGAGAUUAAUAUUUUUUAAGAUAACAAUACCAUUUACUUAAAAUAAAUUUAUUUUCAAAAUGAUGGAUUUCAGUUUAAAAUUUUUUUUUUUAUUUACUUGAAAGGGGGAGAGAGAGAGAGGGGGGAGAUCCUCCAUCAAGGUCCCACACUUAGAAAACCCCAGUGAGCGAAACCCCUCUGGUUUCUUAACCAUCUUCAGCGAAACCGAAGAAGAGAGAUGAUGGCGGCUCAAGGAAAGAGAAGAUUUCAAGCUUGUAGGAAGAGCAAGCCCGAAUGUUGAAAGAGAAAUUCAAUGUCAGCAAGAAUCAGCUUCAAGCUCUGGCUUCUUUAUUCUCCAAGUCUGAUCCGAGAAUUAUCUUCUAGCUGAUGAAGAUAUUGGAGGCCAGAAAUGUUCAAAAGCCACAGAGCUGGGUACUGCGUUUUUAACUGAGGAUGGGCUGUUUGAUAUAAUCCGUUCAUCGAAACGUGCAAAGACUCCUGCACAGGAAGAAUUCAAAAAGAAACAUGCAAAUAAGUCUGUUGGAUCACCACCAAAGGGAAGUCCUCAAAAAGAAGUAAAGAGUAUGCUUAGAAUAACACUGAAAUUUUGCUUUUGUUUUACUGCUUUAAGAAUUCAGAAAUAUCAUUGGCUGCUCGCCCACAUGGAAUUUUCCAGCAUA